CUCUCAGGAUGAACGCUGGCGGCGUGCUUAACACAUGCAAGUCGAACGAGCCUUCGGGCUAGUGGCGGACGGGUUAGUAACGCGUGAGAAUCUGCCCUCAGGAGGGGGAUAACGGCUGGAAACGGCCGCUAAUACCCCAUAUGCCGCGAGGUGAAAUGAGAAAUCGCCUGAGGAUGAGCUCGCGUCUGAUUAGCUAGUUGGUGGGGUAAGAGCCUACCAAGGCAUCGAUCAGUAGCUGGUCUGAGAGGAUGAUCAGCCACACUGGGACUGAGACACGGCCCAGACUCCUACGGGAGGCAGCAGUGGGGAAUUUUCCGCAAUGGGCGCAAGCCUGACGGAGCAACGCCGCGUGAGGGAUGAAGGCCUCUGGGCUGUAAACCUCUUUUCUCAAGGAAGAAGAACUGACGGUACUUGAGGAAUAAGCCACGGCUAAUUCCGUGCCAACAGCCGCGGUAAUACGGGAGUGGCAAGCGUUAUCCGGAAUUAUUGGGCGUAAAGCGUCCGCAGGCGGUCUUGAAAGUCUGUUGUUAAAGCGUGGAGCUCAACUCCAUUUCAGCAAUGGAAACUAGAAGACUAGAGUGUGGUAGGGGCAGAGGGAAUUCCCGGUGUAGCGGUGAAAUGCGUAGAUAUCGGGAAGAACACCAGUGGCGAAGGCGCUCUGCUGGGCCAUAACUGACGCUCAUGGACGAAAGCCAGGGGAGCGAAAGGGAUUAGAUACCCCUGUAGUCCUGGCCGUAAACGAUGAACACUAGGUGUCGGGGGAAUCGACCCCCUCGGUGUCGUAGCCAACGCGUUAAGUGUUCCGCCUGGGGAGUACGCACGCAAGUGUGAAACUCAAAGGAAUUGACGGGGGCCCGCACAAGCGGUGGAGUAUGUGGUUUAAUUCGAUGCAACGCGAAGAACCUUACCAGGGUUUGACAUCCUGCAAAUCUUUUGGAAACAGAAGAGUGCCUUCGGGAGCGCAGAGACAGGUGGUGCAUGGCUGUCGUCAGCUCGUGUCGUGAGAUGUUGGGUUAAGUCCCGCAACGAGCGCAACCCACGUCUUUAGUUGCCAGCAUUGAGAUGGGCACUCUAGAGAGACCGCCGGUGAUAAACCGGAGGAAGGUGUGGAUGACGUCAAGUCAUCAUGCCCCUUACAUCCUGGGCUACACACGUACUACAAUGCUACGGACAGAGGGCAGCAAACUCGCGAGAGCUAGCAAAUCCCAUAAACCGUGGCUCAGUUCAGAUCGUAGGCUGCAACUCGCCUACGUGAAGGAGGAAUCGCUAGUAAUCGCAGGUCAGCAUACUGCGGUGAAUACGUUCCCGGGCCUUGUACACACCGCCCGUCACACCAUGGAAGUUGGCCAUGCCCGAAGUCGUUACUCCAACCCUUGUGGAGGAGGACGCCGAAGGUGGGGCUGAUGACUGG
rnacentral:rRNA from 1 species